GAUCUUUAUUUUUGUAUUUUAUAAUUUUUUAAGGAUUUUUUUAAUUAUAAAUUUAUUAAAAAUUUUACUGGGGUGGUAUAAAAAUUUAAUUAACUUUUAAUUUUAAUUAACAUUAAUUUAUGAAUAAUUGAUCCAAUAAUAUUGAUUAAAAAUUUAAGUUACCUUAGGGAUAACAGCGUAAUUUUUUUUUAGAUUCAUAUCGACAAAAAAGAUUGC
rnacentral:rRNA from 1 species